UUCUCUGUAGAGUCUGCAUAUCAAUAAGCGGAGGAAAAGAAACUAACAAGGAUUCCCUUAGUAACGGCGAGUGAAGCGGGAAGAGCUCAAAUUUGAAAUCUUCAAGGUUCUACCUUGACGAAUUGUAGUUUAAAGAAGUGUUUUCUGUUGGUGUUUUUGUAAAAGUUCUUUGGAAUAGGACAUCAUAGAGGGUGAGAAUCCCGUAUUUGGUUAUUCAUUCUAGCUUUGUGAUACACUUUCAAAGAGUCGGAUUGUUUGGGAAUGCAGUCCAAAAUGGGUGGUAAAUUUCAUCUAAAGCUAAAUAUUGGCGAGAGACCGAUAGCGAACAAGUACCGUGAGGGAAAGAUGAAAAGAACUUUGAAAAGAGAGUUAAACAGUACGUGAAAUUGUCAAAAGGGAAGCGUUUGACACCAGUGUUGUUUUUUCCAAAAAUCAAUUAAGAAUGGCUUGAUUUUGUGUUGUAUUGACCUUAUCAGCUUUCUUGCACUUUUUUUCGAGUCUUUCUUAAUGCACUUUUCGGUUAACAAGUCAACAUCAAUUUCUUUUGUUGUAAAAGAGUAUUCGGAAGGUGGCUUUCUUUUCGGAGAAAGUGUUUAUAGCCCUAUACUUCUACAAUCGGAGAGAUAGAGGUCUGCAGCGUAGAUCCUUCGGGGUUAGAUACACUUGUGCUAAGUUGUAGCUUUUCAUAGACAACUUGUUGACUAUGUUUAGUCAUGCGGCUUACUCGCUUGUGCUAUUUUACCUACGCUUAGGAUGUUGAAGAUGUAGCACAUCAU
rnacentral:rRNA from 1 species